UGCCAGCCGCCGCGGUAAUACGGAGGGUGCAAGCGUUGUCCGGAAUCAUUGGGUGUAAAGGGUGCGUAGGCGGGUUACUAAGUCUGGGGUGAAAUCCUGCCGCUUAACGGUAGAAUGGCCUUGGAUACUGGUAACCUUGAGUACAGAAGAGGUCGGUGGAAUUCGUAGUGUAGCGGUGAAAUGCAUAGAUAUUACGAAGAACACCAGUGGCGAAGGCGGCCGACUGGUCUGUAACUGACGCUGAGGCACGAAAGCGUGGGGAGCGAACAGGAUUAGCUA
rnacentral:rRNA from 1 species